ensembl:lncRNA novel transcript, antisense to ANKRD54
AGAGAUCAAAGCCCCCAUCCACACAGUGGGCUGAAUAUGGAUCCAUGCAGCGAUCUGGUCCUGGUGCUGUGGAAUCAGCUUUGCACAAGGCCCCAGAAGGUCUGCGUUCCAGAGCCUUCCUGUUGGGGCCUCAGUCUUCUCAUCUGAAAAAUGGGAGCAAACUCAGUUCUGCCAUGCCCAGUGUGGGUGUGAUGUCACAUCAGAUGGAGUCUCGCUCUGUCACCCAGGCUGAAGUGCAAUGGCAAGAUCUCAGCUCACUGCAACCUCCACCUCCCAGUUUCAAGCGAUUCUUGUGCCUCAGCCUCUGGAGUAGCUGGGAUUACAGGUGCCCACCACCACACCUGGCUGAUUUUUGUAUUUUUAGUAGAGACGGGGUUUCACCAUGUUGGUCAGGCUGGUCUCAAACUCCUGACCUCAAGUGUUCUGCCUGCCUUGGCCUCUCAAAGUGCUGGGAUUACAGGCCUGAGCCACUGUGCCCGACCACCAUGUUGUAUUGUUACUGUUACUGCUCUCCUGUCCUGCACCUGCCCUGCCUGCCUCCCUUGGCUGGGCUGUAAAACCUUGAGGGGUAACGUAUCUUAUUCAUGUUUCUUGUCCUGGUACCAGCACAGCAACUGACAUGGAUGGGGGGUUAGGGGCUCAGAAAGCAUUGCCCUAAAAUAUGGCGCUCUGACAUGAAGCAGCCUCAAGGUCUAUCUGACCUCCCUGCCUCCUUCUCUGAAUCCUCUGUCUCUCUCAAAGUGCAGGAUGACGCUGUUCUCUGAAGUUUCUUUAUCUGCCUAGAAACGGGACCUGCCAAAGGGGAACACAAUUACCUUCCCUGGAAUAUCAUUAGCUAGAGGUUAAAACUCAUAUCCUAGAGGAUAUGAGACUGAACAUUAAACACCACACCUACAGCCCAGAUAAACUUCAUCCCAAACCAUUAUCUGCUCUCUUUCCCUUUCAAUGUCCAAAGAAAUUAUUAAUUAUCAUCUGGACGCUGGACUCAUUCAUUUCCCCCCUAAAAACCAUUGACUGUCCUUCAAAUUGCCACGUGUCCCCCAUCUCUCCUUCCCCCGUGAAGAAGGGCGCAUGCACCUGUACCCCACUGGGUUAUUGGGUAACUUCUGUGAUUCCCUCAUGCUCUGCACGUUGAAAUAAAUUUUGUCUUUUCUCCAA